CGUGAAAUUCCGUCGGAAUCUGGGAGGACCAUCUCCUAAGGCUAAAUACUCUCUAGUGACCGAUAGUGAACCAGUACCGUGAGGGAAAGGUGAAAAGCACCCCGGAAGGGGAGUGAAAUAGAACCUGAAACCGUGUGCUUACAAGUAGUCAGAGCCCGUUAAUGGGUGAUGGCGUGCCUUUUGUAGAAUGAACCGGCGAGUUACGAUUUGAUGCAAGGUUAAGCAGUAAAUGUGGAGCCGUAGCGAAAGCGAGUCUGAAUAGGGCGUUUAGUAUUUGGUCGUAGACCCGAAACCAGGUGAUCUACCCUUGGUCAGGUUGAAGUUCAGGUAACACUGAAUGGAGGACCGAACCGACUUACGUUGAAAAGUGAGCGGAUGAACUGAGGGUAGCGGAGAAAUUCCAAUCGAACCUGGAGAUAGCUGGUUCUCUCCGAAAUAGCUUUAGGGCUAGCCUCAAGUGAUGAUUAUUGGAGGUAGAGCACUGUUUGGACGAGGGGCCCCUCUCGGGUUACCGAAUUCAGACAAACUCCGAAUGCCAAUUAAUUUAACUUGGGAGUCAGAACAUGGGUGAUAAGGUCCGUGUUCGAAAGGGAAACAGCCCAGACCACCAGCUAAGGUCCCAAAAUAUAUGUUAAGUGGAAAAGGAUGUGGCGUUGCCCAGACAACUAGGAUGUUGGCUUAGAAGCAGCCAUCAUUUAAAGAGUGCGUAAUAGCUCACUAGUCGAGUGACACUGCGCCGAAAAUGUACCGGGGCUAAACAUAUUACCGAAGCUGUGGAUUGUCCUUUGGACAAUGGUAGGAGAGCGUUCUAAGGGCGUUGAAGCAUGAUCGUAAGGACAUGUGGAGCGCUUAGAAGUGAGAAUGCCGGUGUGAGUAGCGAAAGACGGGUGAGAAUCCCGUCCACCGAUUGACUAAGGUUUCCAGAGGAAGGCUCGUCCGC
rnacentral:rRNA from 1 species